rnacentral:tRNA from 1 species
GGAGAGGUGUCAGAGUGGUCUAAUGAGCUGGUCUUGAAAACCAGUGUUCCGCAAGGGACCGCAGGUUCGAAUCCUGUCCUCUCCGCCA